GUGGAGCCGCGGCCGUAGCGUUAAAAGGUUGAGGCGUCUGAGUUUUACCGAGCGUCACAGCAGCUGAGAGGGAAACGGCACUCUGCUCGGAAAAGGUGACGGGAUCCCGGCCUGAGCGUGAAAAGACAAGGAAGUGAGAGAUGGACUAAGGCAGAUACUAUUUGAUCCCCAUCAGGAAUGCAGAAUCAGUGUGCCUCCAUCACCCACCCACAUGUUUUGGACGACAUUCAACCACAGCAGGUUACAGGCCUUUUUCACAGCUCGGAGCUGCAAGCUUAACUUCAGAACUGCUUACCUGCUUUGCGUGUGUCAGUGGAAACAGAGGCAGGCUUAACAUCUCUUAUUAGGUCUAGGUUUGUGUCAUCUCUUCCUUCUCUUUCUUCAGGAACAACCAUACUGGCUCUUUC
rnacentral:lncRNA from 1 species